ensembl:lncRNA
AACUUAACCUGCAUCUUUCUCGCAGCAAGACAGCCGUCCAAUGAACAGCCCUUCCUCCACACAUCUCUUCUUCCUUUCUUCCUUCCUAAACAACUUCCUUUCAGCUGCUUGUCUUUGAAUCCGGGCUACGCUUCACAUCUGGCAAAAAACAAUCCCGAGCGGUUUAAACAAGAACAACAAGAAGCAGCACGAUGCUCUUGAUACGAUAUCAAGCUACGAGCAUAGAUGCUUGCGAAUAUAUCUGCUGGAGAGACAUGGCGGGAGCUUUAAGGAGGAGGCUGAGGUGAAAAUCACAGCAUGGCCCAAGGCGAGCAACACCACAACACACGGAAACAUUUUGCCCCCUGAUCUCUGCACCCUCAGAAGGAGUGGUGGGAUGCUCCAGGGCAAGGACGGCUCUGCAGGAGGAAAAAGUUCAAAAAGAGAAGAUAAAAAAACAAAAACAAUCCAACCACAAUAUUACAUUCCUAAACAGGAAGUCUCUCUGAAGAAAUAUUCAUUGAACAGCAUGAAUGUGCAUAAAAUGAUACACAGAAAGAAAGCAAGAAAGCAGAAUAUCAUUCGGAGUUGGUCUGAAGAGAUCCCUUCUGCUGGAGUACCACAUUCCUGGUGAGGUUUCAGUGGCAUCACCUGGGUUCUGUAAGACCAACUGUGAAAUCUGACUCGGUCUGAAGGUAUAGAUCUUCACAAUAUGAGAAACAUUGAAAUGCUCGAAGAUUGCAAUAAUCUCAAGUGGAAACAGAAACCGUUGAUAUUUUCAGCUUGGCUCUGGACUGAAUUGUAGGCGCUGCCAGCUGAAUCUCACUACUGCUAAUCACAGAAAAGGAUGGAAAGGUGCCGCUACAGAAUCCCGAGCAUUGCGCAACUUCUCCAGCCGCAGUGCUGUGGGCUAUGUCUUCGAGUUUAAUGGGGCCGUGAUAACUAUCAAAUGGACAUGGAUUACACACUAUAUCAUUAUACACACCAUUGAUUUUGCCCUUGCUUUGCCAGACAAGCAAUAUUAUAUGUCCAAAAUGACCUUGUACAGAAAUGCAAGCAGUGGUGUAGGUCCAAGACAGGCUUAGCAGUGUGUUCUGUGCAUACUAUUGCCAAGCCGUCUGAAACAUCAUUGGUAGACAUUGUACUGUAUGUUUUAAGGACCGCAAUAAGAAAUGAAUAGCGCUAUUAACAAAAAGGAAUAACUGAUGACUUUUGUGAGAGUAAGUGUUUUGACAUUAGAAAAAAAAAGCAGGCUUAUGAGCUGUUAGGUUUCACUUGUCAUCAAAACCGUUCAAUGCCAAGGAUCUCUAGAGUAUGUUAAUUCUUUGGCAGUCACUUAAUUACACAUUUUACUGCUUUGCUGUCACAAGUUAGGGUUAGAAGAGGUUUCGAGGGGAAGGUAGAGCAGAUGUUUUUGUCUUCAAUCCAAUAAGUUGCACUAAGAAUUCUUUGUAUGGAUUUAGGACACUGAUUUCUCUAUAACUGUA